ACGGGUGAGUAACACGUGAGUAACCUGCCCCUGACUCUGGGAUAAGCGUUGGAAACGACGUCUAAUACUGGAUAUGACUGCCGGCCGCAUGGUCUGGUGGUGGAAAGAUUUUUUUGGUUGGGGAUGGACUCGCGGCCUAUCAGCUUGUUGGUGAGGUAAUGGCUCACCAAGGCGACGACGGGUAGCCGGCCUGAGAGGGUGACCGGCCACACUGGGACUGAGACACGGCCCAGACUCCUACGGGAGGCAGCAGUGGGGAAUAUUGCACAAUGGGCGAAAGCCUGAUGCAGCAACGCCGCGUGAGGGAUGACGGCCUUCGGGUUGUAAACCUCUUUUAGUAGGGAAGAAGCGUAAGUGACGGUACCUGCAGAAAAAGCACCGGCUAACUACGUGCCAGCAGCCGCGGUAAUACGUAGGGUGCAAGCGUUGUCCGGAAUUAUUGGGCGUAAAGAGCUCGUAGGCGGUUUGUCGCGUCUGCUGUGAAAUCCCGAGGCUCAACCUCGGGCUUGCAGUGGGUACGGGCAGACUAGAGUGCGGUAGGGGAGAUUGGAAUUCCUGGUGUAGCGGUGGAAUGCGCAGA
rnacentral:rRNA from 1 species